rnacentral:rRNA from 1 species
GAUGAACGCUGGCGGCGUGCCUAAUACAUGCAAGUCGAGCGAACAGAUGAGGAGCUUUCUCCUCUGACGUUUGCGGCUGACGGGUGAGUAACACGUGGAUAACCUACCUUUAUUACUGGUAUAACUUCGGGAAACCGUUGCUAAUACCGUCUAAUAUAUUGAACCGCAUGGUUCAAUAUUGAAUUACGGUUUUUCUGUCACUUUUAGAUGGUUCCGCUCCGCAUUAGCUAGUUGGUAAGGUAACGGCUUACCAAGGCAACGAUGCGUAGCCGACCUGAGAGGGUGAACGGCCACACUGGAACUGAGAAAAGGUCCAGACUACUACGGGAGGAAGCAGUAGGGAAUCUUCGGCAAUGGGCGAAAGCCUGACGGAGCAACGACGAGUGAGUGAUGAAGGACUACGGAUCGUAAAACUAUGUUAUUAGGGAAGAAAAAAUGUGAAAGUAACAAUGCACGUCUUGACGGUACCGAAUAAGAAAGCCACGGCUAACUACGUG